UACGUAGGGGGCUAGCGUUGUCCGGAUUUAUUGGGCGUAAAGAGCGUGUAGGCGGCCAGGUAGGUCUGGUGUGAAAACUCGAGGCUUAACCUCGAGAUGUCAUCGGAAACCAUCUGGCUAGAGUCCGGAAGAGGAGAGUGGAAUUCCUGGUGUAGCGGUGAAAUGCGCAGAUAUCAGGAAGAACACCAAUGGCGAAAGCAGCUCUCUGGGACGGUACUGACGCUGAGGUGCGAAAGCGUGGGGAGCAAGCAGG
rnacentral:rRNA from 1 species